UUUUUCCUGGGAUGCUCGUGAUUCCCGUUUUCUUUGAACCUACAUUGUGACAGAGGGAUUCCUAUAUCCCCGGGUGGAUGUCAGGCCUCCUGCGAGUGGAAGGCAGAAAUCCGGGUGCGGUUGCCCACCUAGCGAGGGCUAGGCGUCAAAUUGCGGGACACGGCAUUUUGGGAAAUCA
rnacentral:other from 1 species